rnacentral:lncRNA from 1 species
AUUAUUAUAUAACCACCACCUAUUAUUUAGUUUAUUUUCCUUGUAAUCAGUCAGUUUUAACGUUACACAUUUAUUUAAUAAUUAUUGGCCACAAAAUUUUAACAUUAAACAUAAAGUCACCAUGGUUAAUAGAUUCAUGCAUCUAAUUCUAGUCCAAAUCUUUAAUUUUUUAAUAAUUUAAAGAGUUAUUUGGUGGUGUAAGUUGAUAUUGACAAGCCAACCAACGUAGACAUAGAUCGUAAAUUGAUAAAAAGUGCACAAAAGUCUAAAUAAAAAGAGUAGGCAUCACCCUUUUGGAAAAAGUGCAUAAUAUCAUUUAUUUAUCGCCACAUCAAAACCAACAUGACAGAUACAAAGCAUAAUAACAUUGACCAAAAGGGAAUAGGAGGUCCAUGCAACCUGGCUACGAUUCCGAAAGAAAAAACAUAAGACAGUAAACUUGUGAAACAAACCAACAUAGAAACCGGAUAAUGGGGACCAAACUGAAAACCUUAUGUCCUUAUGCAUCCAGGAAAGAAAUACCAAACAGAAACAAACCUAGUUCAACAGCCUAGGAUUAGGGUUUACCUGAAACUCCACACAAAAACUUAAGAGUUAUGCAGGACGGACCCGUAGGAAAACAAAUUAAACGGGAAGAAGCUAGAGUAGUGAAUUUGAACAUUAAAAAAAACCCAGCAAAUUUCACGGCGGCUCUUCCCGGCAACACUUUUCUACAAUCAACAUAGACCGUUGAUCAUCAUCUUAAUUAGGGGGUCGGUGGUGGGGUUGGGGAAGCAGAUCUUGAUGUCGAUGAUGGCGCCAUCCAAUUAGCGAUUGCCAAGGAUGGAAAAGUAGCGUUUGCUAAAACAUCGGCAACUGUGGAAAGGAUGCUAUGGAAGAUCUGAGCUUUGAUCUGACCUCUCCUUGGUGGCAGAUUCUUCUUCUUCCCAUCACCCACAGCUGAAGGCCAGCUUCCCAUCUAUUUCAACAAUACUUCAAUCAAGACAUACGAAACUUAGCAUCAACCCAGAUAAAAUAAUAAAGUAAUUAAAUAUAUCUAAUGCAGAAUUAUUAUUACUAUCUUAGAAAGCAAGAAGCAGAGGGGCUCCGUCUUGGCUCCCUCAGGCAGCGGGAGGUCGAAAGUGGGAAUUAAAGGGAGACGAGCGAUCAUUAUAUACAAAAACUGGAUGGAGGAAAGGAGGAAGUAAUUUACCUACAGCUGCCCAUUUGACUAUGGCCGUCUAAUUACUUCUUCAACCGAAUCUAGAUGGAUAAGAGCACAGGGAACUACAACUACAAACUCUAGAAUGUGGAUUUUUCAGUCUUUUUAUCUAAAGUAUUCAAAUAUGUUAUUCUUUUGUAACAACAACAGCGACCUCAUUGCCAGUGAGUUUCCGACAAAUUGGCGAGUUCCCAACGAGUUUCCCA